UCUCUGUGGGGUCCAUGUUUCAAGCUGGUGGUGCCUCACUGGUCCAAGUGUGGAAGAUAACUCUUUUUAGUUUCCUUUUAGAAUGGUUAUGGUGGCAUCUUACUGAAUCCUCCUUAGGAAUGCUUUGGAUUCCUAAGGACUUCUUAGGGUUCUUCCACUAUGAAGGUUCUGGUGGACAAUUCCGGGGUAGGAACACAUGGCUCCUCAGAAGAUCCCUAGAGGAUCCGUGCUCCAGUUCUUCACCAAGGAUCCUGGGCAUUCUUCCUGUGAGGGAAAGAAGGAAUCAUGUCACUGACGAAGAUAUUUCCAAUGUGAGCCACCAGUAGGACACAUUGACAAACCCUAAGGAAUUCUACUAGGAAAAGAACACACAUUCAAAUUUCUUUUAUGGAAAAGCUUUUGCCAAUGUGGAAGAGGUGAAGCAAAAUAUGGCAGAAGCACUAAAAGGCAUCAAAAUUGAUGAAUUCAAAAACUGAUUUGAACAGUGGUAAAACAUCUCGACAGGUGCUGCCCAACAGCAGAACCACCCAGAAGCCAAUGACAAAUGAGUCUGUCCACGCAGCCCACAUAGGUCAUCUUUCCAGGGCAGAGCAAGCAGGAGGAUGGAGCUGAAGGGGCAAACUGAAGAUAAGCAGUAUGUCCGGGGAGUCUACUUUGAUCUCUGUAGCUUGGUUUGGUUAAGUCUUAUUUAUUCUCCAGUGCUCAAAGGACCUUACAAGUAAGUCAAGUAAGGCCAGUCAUUAUUCCAGAAUAAAGAAUGCCUCAAAUAUCACGCUUGAGAUUUCUACGUGAGAUUCCUCUUCACGUUUUGAAUGCUCUUGGAAAGCAGAUGGUUAGCUGACUAACUACACAAUUCAUGGGGUGUAAUUGCCUGGUUGUGAAAAACAUUAUGCAGCCGCAGCUGGAAAGUGUACGGAAAGAAAGAGCAGGUGGGAAAAUAGUGUUCUUUGCAACAACGACCAGUUACUGCAUUUGAAGUGUGUAAAUUUGUGUUUUUCAGAGUAGUUAAUGCCAGCUUGGAUUUAUAUAGCAUACUAUCUUCCAAACCGAUCACAGAUUUUUUUUCAUACUUUGUCUCAUUUAUCUUCACUAUAUGAUUCUAUAAAAGCAAUUGGCCAUCUUAGAAUUCUUAUUACCAAUGGGGCAACUAAAGUAGAAUAAAUUAACUACUGGCCUCGAAUCAUGCAUUUAAUUAGACCUGUGUCUUAGCUGUGAAACCGAGCUAUGCUUUGCAUAAUUUAAUGAUCCAAGAAGGUAGAUGUCUUCUUCCAAUGGUGGAAUUAUAUAUAAAUAUAUUUAUUAUAUGGUAUAUUCAUACAUAUUUUAUAGAUUCAUAUAUAGAAGGCAAUCUUGGCAUUUAUAUUAAAGUUGAAGUGAUCUCUGGUAGUAUGUCAAAUAAGAAAUAGUAAUAGUGUUUAUUGAGUGACUACCACAUGUCAGGCUUUUUUAUUGGUGCUUUAUUGUUAUAAUAUAUUUGUUCAUACAUGAUAUAUAUUUUAUAUACACACAUACAUAUACAUAUGUACACUUUUAUAUAAACACACAUAUACAAACUCUAUGUAUGUAUGCACAUUGAUACAUGCAUACAUAUGCAUUAUAUACUUUUUAUUUCUUAUUUAAGUGCAGUGCAGGGGACACAUUAUUUCUGAAUAAAAGACUUAAGAAGAGGAAGUUAUAUUUAGCCUGAUGUUCUGAAUUAACACAGAUACAGUCUACUGUCUACUGUUUAGGUGAGAUUUCUUUAAUUAUAACGAUAGUUACUGUAGUGGUCCACCAUUAUGGUCAGUUGACAUGUUCGUCUGACAUUCAGUUUGUAACAGUAUUUGAAUUGAUUUUGUAUGUUUUUGUCUUAGAUGCCUUAAUUCUUGCUUUUAUGUUUACAAAACUGAUCUUGCUUUUAUACUUUCCUUGCAGGUACACCAACUAUAAUUUUUCUAAAUUACAGUUCACAUUUAAUAUUAUCUUAGCUUCAGGUGUAGAGGCAAGUGGUUUUACAUUUAUAUAACUUAUGAAGGGAUCCUUCUGAUAAGGCGAGUGCCCAGCUGACAGCAUACACAGUUAUUACAGUAUUAAUGACUAUAUUCCACAUGAUGCCCCUUGUAUCCCUAUUCUAUAACUACCAGUCUGUCCUAAUUAACCUCUUCAUCCUUUUCACCCGUUUCCCCAAACUUCCACCCUUCUGGCAACCGUCACCUGCUUUCUGCCUCUGUGAGUCUCUUUCUGUUUUGUUUGUUCAUUUAUUUUGUUCUUUCAUUUAUACAUAUAAGUGAAAUCAUAUGGUAUUGGUCUUUUAUGGGACAUUCUUCACAUUAGGUAAUUCUUGACUCUGGUUGGCAAUCUUGACAUUUAGGUUCAAGUGAAAGUGACUCUCUGGAAGGACAUCAAAUAAGAAAUAAUAAUACAGGAACUAGUAUAAAG